GCAAAAAAAAAAAAAAAAAAAAAAAAAAAAAAAAAA
rnacentral:ribozyme from 13 species